GUCGAUCGGGUAGUUCCGGAUCUCGGGUAAUUCCGAAUCAACUCUAUGAUUUAAUUAAAAUAUUAGUCUAAAAGAUAUUGCCAUAUCAAUAUAACUGUGAUUUUUGGAAAAUGUGAUCAAUUUCAAGCAAUAACACAGUUUUGCUUCUUAUUUCAACGGUGUUUUCAUUGAAAAUCACACUUUGGUAACUAUCACAGUCGUGUCAUUUUACCGUCGCACUGUCUUUCAAUAACACGCGUCAACAAUUAAAAGACGAUUUAGAAGCACAUUUCCUUGGUAAAUGCUUGUACAUUUGAUAAUUGUCAAGUUGGACGGAUGGGUCCUAAAAAGCACGGGUGCUCUGCACAGUCAUUGGCAAAGAGGCUGAAGCGGAUACUUUUAUAUAUUUUUACAUUAUUGUGAUCCUAUUAUUGUUAAAUGUUGCCAUAAUAUGUUAUUUACCAAACAUUUAACUUGAUAUCUAGUAUUGUCUUCCAUUUCUUUACCAUUAUUAUCCCAGAGGUACUGGUUUAUGUUGUUGUUGCUUUUUAUACUUUUAUUACAUUAUUUUACAUUAUUGUGAUCAUAUUAUUGUUACAUGUUAUCAUACUAUGUUAUUUACCAAAAAAGUAACUUGAUAUCUAGUAUUGUUUUCCAUUUCUUUAGCAAAUUUAUUCUAGAGGCACUGGUUUAUGUUAUACUUUUUAUGGAUGCUUUUAUAUAUUUUUACAUUAUUAUGAUCCUAUUAUUAGCAAAUGCAUUCCAGAGGUACUUGUUUAUGUUCAGUUGUCAUUUUUAUGCCCCCGGAUCGAAUGAUCGGGGCAUAUUGUGUUUGGCCAGUCUGUCAUUCUGUCCCAAAACUUUAACCUUAGUUAAAGUUUUUUGAUAACUUUUGCAAUAUUUAAGACAGAAAC